GUCAGUAAUAUGUCGUCUGCAAAUAGUGUGAGUUUAUGUUCUUUGCUUUGUGUUUUGACACCUGUAAUUGAUGGUUGUUGUGUAAUGAGGGUUGUAAGGGGUUCUAGUGCUAAUAUGUAUAAUAGGGGUGAGAGGGGGCAUCCCUGUCUGCUUCCGUUCGUGAUUUUGAACGGGUCUGAAAGGAAUCCUGCAUUGGUUAUUGGUUACUGGCGGUAGGGUUACUAUAGAGUGCUUG